CGGACGGGUGAGUAAUGUAUAGUUAAUCUGCCCUUUAGAGGGGGAUAACAGUUGGAAACGACUGCUAAUACCCCAUACUCCUUUUAUCUUAAUGAUAAUUGGGAAACGUUUUUUCGCUAAAGGAUGAGACUAUAUGGUAUCAGGUAGUUGGUGGGGUGAGAGCCUACCAAGCCUAUGACGCCUAGCUGGUCUGAGAGGAUGAUCAGCCACACUGGAACUGAGACACGGUCCAG
rnacentral:rRNA from 1 species